AUGAAGUUCAACAGGGACAAAUGCAAGGUACUUCAUUUCGGCAGAAAAAAUGGAAAUCAAAGAUACAGAAUGGGGGACGCCUGGCUUGACAGCAGUGUGUGCGAAAAAGACCUUGGAGUCCUUGUGGACAACAAGUUAAACAUGAGCCAACAAUGUGAUGCAGCAGCUAAAAAAGCCAAUGGGAUUCUGGCCUGCAUCAAUAGGGGUAUAGCGUCUAGAUCCAGGGAAGUCAUGCUCCCCCUCUAUUCUGCCUUGGUCAGACCACACCUGGAAUACUGCGUCCAAUUUUGGGCACCACAGUUGAAGGGAGAUGUUGACAAGCUGGAAAGCGUCCAGAGGAGGGCGACUAAAAUGAUUAAGGGUCUGGAGAACAAGCCCUAUGAGGAGAGGCUUAAAGAACUGGGCAUGUUUAGCCUGCAGAAGAGAAGGCUAAGAGGAGACAUGAUAGCCAUGUAAAAAUAUGUGAGGGGAAGUCAUAGGAAGGAGGGAGCAAGCUUGUUUUCUGCUGCCCUGCAGACUAGGACGUGGAACAAUGGCUUCAAACUACAGGAAAGGAGAUUCCACCUGAACAUCAGGAAGAACUUCCUCACUGUGAGGGCUGUUCAGCAGUGGAACUCUUUCCCCCGGACUGUGGUAGAGGCUCCUUCUUUGGAGGCUUUUAAGCAGAGGCUGGAUGGCCAUCUGUCAGGGGUUCUUUGAAUGAGAUUUCCUGCUUCUUGGCAGGGGGUUGGACUGGAUGGCCCAUGAGGUCUCUUCCAACUCUACUAUUCUAUGAUUCUAUGAUUCUAUAAUGGAAUAGGGUGACACUUUGAGGUUCCCCAUGCAACCUGAUUAUGUGCCAGCAGCACAUAUCUUAGUUUACAAUGUUGAUGCAGCCAUUCUUUCAAGUGUUAACCUCUACUCCCACAGCUAUUUGAUCUAAUGAGUACUAUUCCUUAUGUCUACAUAUCACAAUAGUACCAGAUUGUUUUAGAGAUAUUUAUAUAGGGGGAAAGUGCAUCUUAGAGUUGAAGAAAUACAGUAGUUUUCAGGAAUAUCAUGGGGAAAUUUGUCAAAGGUUUUACUGAAAUAAAGAUAUACUACACCCACAGCAUUGUCUCCAUCUACCAAGCUCAUAACUCUCACUCCCACUCUCUUAAAAGAGAGAGAAAGAGAGAGAUGAUUGGUCUGACGGUGGAAUAGACUGCCUCAGAAAGUGGAAUAUGUCUUCAUUGGUGGCUUUAAAAAGUGUAGAGAUGCUUUAGCAAUUCCUGCAAUAGUAGAGGGCUGAACUAGCUAUCCUUUGGGAUUUCUUCCCACUCUACAGUUCUUUCAUUACCCCCUCUACUUAUAAUCACCUAUUCUCACUAAUUCUUUAAGUUCACCUUCUUUACUUCUUCCUGAGGCCUCUCUUUUCUUUUUAGGAAGUGAGAGGAUAUUGAUAUGCUUGAACAAGUCUUUUUAAAAAAGGAGAAAACAAAAGCCAUUUGAGGUGAUUCCUUUGAGUGUUCGGGAGCCAUCCUCUUACAUCUGCCAUGCAAGGCUGAAAUUUUAUAGGCAAGCUGUAAAAGAGAUCAGAACAGAGGGACGUUAAACAAUCUUGAGUUGAAGAACUGUAGCGAAAUCACAGACACAUUUAUAGCCGCAUUAUAGAACACUUCACAGUAAAUUGGCACCAAAGUGGUCUCAUGUAGUCUCAGUUCUGUGCAGCAGAGUUUCGCUUCAGCUCUUCUGUUUGAUUCUUCUCAAAAAUAUGGAAAACAUAAUUUGGAUUUUGUUAUAUUUUUAACAAAAACCUUCCUAUAUACAAUGGAAAGGAUUUUAUUUAAAAUAUUUGCAAGUAGGAGAAAAUAAAACAGGGUAAACUUGCCCAUCUAGACCCUUAGCUUUAAAUGCAUGUAUCUUUAGAGUCCAGGGUUAAUUCCCAUGCUGAAUUAGGGUUACCAGCUUUUCUUUACUGAAAGGCUCCUUAUCUCUAACAUUCAUUCAUUUAUUCAUUUAAUUUACUUAAUGUGUUUUGUGUGGUCAAUGGUCAAUACACAAUCUGGACCGCAAACUAUUUCUAGGAUUUUCUGAAAUCACUUUCUUCAAUGCCAGUUCGAGCUAAAUUAAAUGAUCGGUGUAGAUGGGACCCCAGAAUCAAAAUCAUAGAGUUGUAAGGGAACCACAAAAAUAAUUUAGUCCAACCUCCUGCCUUGAAGCAUUCCUGAAAGAUGCCAGUUCAACGUCAGGGAAUUUAACACAUUCUGAGAAAAGCUAUUCCAACUCUGAACAGCACCUCUUACAAUGAAUAUUUUCUUUUUUAUGUUUAAGUGGAAUCUCUUUUCCUAUAAUUUGAAUCCAUUUGUUUGGGUUCUAGUCCCUGGAGUAAAAGAAAACAAACUUGCUCUAUCUUCUACAGGACAACCCUAUCAUGCUACCUCUCAAUUUUCUUUUCUCCAAGUUAAACACCCCAGUCUCCCUAAAUCAUUUCAUAAGGUUUGGUUUCCAAACUUUUGAUUAUCUUGGUUGAACUUUUUUGGACACAUUCCAACUUAUUAAUAUCCUUCUUGAACUGUGUGUCCAGAAUUGGACACUGUGUCCUAAGUGAAGUUUGACAAAAGCAGAAUAGAGUGGCACUACAGAACUAUGCUCCAUUUGAUACAGCUCAGAGUUCCACUUGCUUCUUUGACCAUUGCAUUACACUGUGGACUUUCAUGUUUAGCUUGUGGCCUAAGGUAAAGGUAAAGGUUUUCCCCUGACAUUAAGUCUAGUCGUUUCUGACUCAGGUGGUUGGUGCUGAUCUCCAUUUGUAAUCCGAAGAGCCGGCAUUGUCCGUAGACACCUCCAAGGUCAUGUGCCUGGUAUGACUGCAUUACCUUUCCACCAUUACCUUUCCGCCAGAGCAGUAUCUAUUGAUCUACCCACAUUUGCAUGUUUUCAAACUGCUAGGUUGGCAGAAGCUGGUGCUAACACUUGGAGCUCACCCCACUCCACGGAUUUGAACCGCUGAUCUUUCAAUCAGCACGUUCAGCAGCUCAGUGGUUUAAUCUGCUGUGCCAUCAGGGUAUGCAAUAUUACAAUUUGGACUUUACAUACCAUCCCCAAUACUUUAAAUUGGACCCUCUAGCCUUUUCAGCAUUUACCAAAGGCUCUAUUGGUGAAGAUCUCAUUCUUCAAGUGUGACCCCUAAGUUUUGUGAAUAUUCCCUAGUAUCAUAUUAUUAUUUUUUUCUCCCAUACAAACAUAGACUUACAUCAACAACUUCUUAUUCACCAGACCGGUUUAUUUCCCUCCUGGAUAAAUAAUCUACUGUAUGUGUUUAAGGCCUUAUUUAUUAUAAAUGAUCCGCCUUGGCUGUCCAUCAACAGGAACUCCCUAAGCAACAUGCAAGUGAAUAAUAUGUUUGAUAAAUGUAAAGACUGGAACUAAACUAAUAAUGCAAAGAAACCAACAGAAAUCGUAAGUACAAACAAGCUAUAACAUUUAUCAGGAUGGAUUAGAAAACAAUAUCACACCAUGAGCAGACAUGCAGGAUUCAGAUCAUGAGAAUGUGAUACUCAGACUGUACAGGUCAAAUAAAGCAGAUGCUCAUCCAGGGCAUCCCCAGAUCACAGUAUUAAAUGUCAUUUGCAAUGAUGAGCAUCCUAUUGGUUUUACUACAGGAUGGAGCUCACAUAGAGGAGAUGACAAAGAUGGUUAGAAUUCUGGAGAUUUGGAUGAAAGAUUGAAGGACAGUUACUGAUUCAUUCAUUUACAAUAAUAAAUAUGUUACAACAAUGUUAAAACAUUAUGCUGCUAAAAUGCAUAAUAUAAUUUUUAAAAGUGACAUUAAAUAAACUGUCAUGUUGUCUGUGUAUGUGCCUCUAAGUCAUCUGUCAACUUAUGCUUGACCUCAUGAAUUUUGUAGGGUUUUCUUAGGCAAGGAAUACUCAGAUGUGAUUUUUGCUAGCACCCUCUUUUGAAAUAUAAAUGUUUUAAAGUGAAAUUAAUUACACUGUCAUACUGGGCGUGCAUGUGCCAUCAAGUUACCUGUCCAUGUAUGGUGACCUCAUACAUUUCAUAGGAUUUUCUCUUACAAUGAAUACUUAGAGGUGGUUUUUGCCAGAUCCUUCCUCUGGAAUAUAAUGUGCAACACUUGGUAUUUGCUGAACUCUUUCAAAUGCAAAGUCAACCCUCCUCUGAAUAAAUCUUGUUAUGAAAUCCCUGUAAUAGAAUUGCUUCUGGAUCACUAUAAGUCAGAAAUGUUUGAAGUCCAACAACAACAAGAGCAAGUCUGAUGAUGUCGAUGAUGGCACAAAUAUGGUACCAGUCCUUGUCAAAUUAUUUUUAAAAAACCACAUACAUCCCCCCAAACCCUCCCCCCACUAAGAAUAGCUUGGGUUUGAGAACCAUAUCUGAAAUAUGUACCCGCUGUUUGAUCUUCCUCACUAUCACUUCACAAAAUAGGCUGAAUGAGUUUCCUUUAUCUGAAAUAUUCUAAACUCAAGACCUUUUUGUACCUAGCUGCAGUGGGGCAGGGACCCUAAAAAACAGCCAUGAAAGUAAAUAUGGAGUGACCUACUGGCUGCUGCCUAUAUCCAGACCAGAGAAUGCCUGCCUUUCAUUUUGAGUCAGCUAUUGUUUUGUUGGGGGUCUUUCUGUUUUAUGACAUCCAAAUGGAUGAUACGAAACUGAAACACGAAUGAAACAUAUGAAACAAAUAUUGCGCAUAUCUCUAGUAACUAGUCCCCUUUGCCCAAUCUCUUAUUCAUUGUGUAUUUGCAAAUACAGGUAUCACAAAUGUAUUCAAAAAAUCUGAAAUCCAAAAAAUGUGGUCUAAAGCAUUUCAGAAAAGGGAGACCAAACCUGCACAACUAUAUCUUAGUAAACAAAGUAUCCACUCUUCUUUCUACCUGAUCAGAAAGGGAUUCUGGAGGCAACAGCUGUUUACCUUGCCAAUUAUAUUGCCAGGGCUCAAUCCUAUGAAAUCAUGGGAGUUGUUGUUUUAUAAAGCCUUUCGCCUUCUCUGUCAAAGAGUGCUGGUGUGUCACCUAACUAGUCCCUGAAAGUGUGAUAUUCCUUUUGCAAAUUCUUAAUAUUGAUUGCCUCACAUCUUAUUUACUUCAUGAGUAAACCCAAUCAUGGCUCUUCGGGCACAAAGCUGAAUACUAAUGAGUAAAACCAAUGACAUUGCUUACUGCUGAAGCACUUUGUGUGCCUCACAUCCCACAAGAACUGAGUCAUUCGAAACAACACAUGCUAAGGUCAGACAUAUCACAUGCUUGUUUAUUUUCCCUUUUUUUUUACACAUUUCAGCCCUUGCUUUCCACUUCUCAAAGGGGUUUCGGAACUGAGAUUAGAAAUCAGACAUCUGCACAUAACUUACAGUCUCAAAGUCAUCUCACAAAAGGAAAAGGGAUU
rnacentral:lncRNA from 1 species